rnacentral:rRNA from 1 species
ACAGCAGUAGCCGCGGGAAUACAGAGGGUGCAAGCGUUAAUCGGAAUUACUGGGCGUAAAGCGCGCGUAGGUGGUUUGUUAAGUUGGAUGUGAAAUCCCCGGGCUCAACCUGGGAACUGCAUCCAAAACUGGCAAGCUAGAGUAUGGUAGAGGGUGGUGGAAUUUCCUGUGUAGCGGUGAAAUGCGUAGAUAUAGGAAGGAACACCAGUGGCGAAGGCGACCACCUGGACUGAUACUGACACUGAGGUGCGAAAGCGUGGGGAGCAAACAGGAUUAGAUACCCCUGUAGUCCCUGUCUCUUAUAC